rnacentral:rRNA from 1 species
UACGGGGGGGGCAAGCGUUGUUCGGAAUUACUGGGCGUAAAGGGCUCGUAGGCGGCCAACUAAGUCAGACGUGAAAUCCCUCGGCUUAACCGGGGAACUGCGUCUGAUACUGGAUGGCUUGAGUAUGGGAGAGGGAUGUAGAAUUCCAGGUGUAGCGGUGAAAUGCGUAGAUAUCUGGAGGAAUACCGGUGGCGAAGGCGGCAUCCUGGACCAUAACUGACGCUGAGGCGCGAAAGCUAGGGGAGCAAACGGG